AACGAACGCUGGCGGCAGGCUUAACACAUGCAAGUCGAGCGAAGACUUCGGUCUUAGCGGCGGACGGGUGAGUAACGCGUGGGAACAUACCCUUUGCUACGGAACAGCCCUGGGAAACUGGGAGUAAUGCCGGAUACGCCGAGCCAUAGUGAUAUGGUUUGGGAAAGAUUUAUCGGAGAGGGAUCGGCCCGCGUUGGAUUAGGUAGUUGGUGGGGUAACGGCCUACCAAGCCGACGAUCCAUAGCUGGUUUGAGAGGAUGAUCAGCCACACUGGGACUGAGACACGGCCCAGACUCCUACGGGAGGCAGCAGUGGGGAAUCUUGGACAAUGGGGGCAACCCUGAUCCAGCCAUGCCGCGUGAGCGAUGAAGGCCUUAGGGUUGUAAAGCUCUUUCAGCUGGGAAGAUAAUGACGGUACCAGCAGAAGAAGCCCCGGCUAACUCCGUGCCAGCCGCCGCAGUAAAAC
rnacentral:rRNA from 1 species